GUCGGUGUCGAUGACGGUAAGGUUCCACCUGUUCCCAUUCCGAACACAGAAGUUAAGCUUACUUGUGCCGAAGAUAGUUAGCUGGAAACGGCUUGUGAAAAUAGGGAGUCGCCGACU
rnacentral:rRNA from 1 species